UAGUCCACGCCGUAAACGAUGAUCACUCGCUGUAGGCGAUACACAGUCUGUGGCUAAGCGAAAGUUUUAAGUGAUCCACCUGGGGAGUACGAUCGCAAGAUUGAAACUCAAAGGAAUUGACGGGGGGCCCGCACAAGCGGAGGAACAUGUGGUUUAAUUCGAUGAUACGCGAGGAACCUUACCUGGACUUAAAUGUAGAUUACAUAGAUUGGAGACAGUCUUUUCUUCGGACUAUUUACAAGGUGCUGCAUGGUUGUCGUCAGCUCGUGCCGUGAGGUGUCGGGUUAAGUCCCAUAACGAGCGCAACCCCUAUCCUUAGUUGCCAGCGGGUCAUGCCGGGGACUCUGAGGAGACUGCCGCCGUAAGGUGUGAGGGAAGGUGGGGAUGACGUCAAAUCAGCACGGCCCUUAUGUCCAGGGGCUACACACGUGUUACAAUGGGCGCGCACAGCGGGGCAGCGAAGCCGCGAGGGUGGGAGCCAAUCCCCUAAAGCGCGUCCCAGUUCGGGA
rnacentral:rRNA from 1 species